rnacentral:tRNA from 1 species
GGUCGGUUAGCUCAGCUGGUUAGAGCGUCCCGUUGACAUCGGGGAGGUCGGGGGUUCGAGUCCCUCACCGACCA